rnacentral:rRNA from 1 species
AGAGUUUGAUCCUGGCUCAGGACGAACGCUGGCGGUGUGCUUCACACAUGCAAGUCGAACGGAGUAGCAAUACUCAGUGGCGGACGGGUGAGUAACACGUGGGAAUCUACCAUUAGGUGGGGAAUAACAGGCCGAAAGGACUGCUAAUGCCGCAUAUGUAGGCAUCUCGACAGAGAUGUUUAUGAAAGGAGUAAUCCGCCUUUUGAUGAGCCCGCGUCCGAUUAGCUAGUUGGUAGGGUAAAAGCCUACCAAGGCGACGAUCGGUAGGUGGUCUGAGAGGAUGAUCACCCACAAUGGGACUGAGACACGGCCCAUACUCCUACGGGAGGCAGCAGUGGGGAAUUUUACGCAAUGGGGGAAACCCUGACGUAGCGACACCGCGUGAGCGAAGAAGCCCUUUGGGGUGUAAAGCUCUGUCAACAGGAACGAAACAAAUGACGGUACCUGUGGAGGAAGCAUCGGCUAACUACGUGCCAGCAGCCGCGGUAAGACGUAGGAUGCAAGCGUUGUCCGGAUUUAUUGGGCGUAAAGAGUUCGUAGGCGGUUUGUUAAGUCUGAUGUUAAAGACCGGGGCUCAACCUCGGAAAUGCAUUGGAUACUGGCAGACUGGAGUGCAGUAGAGGCUAGUGGAAUUCCCAGUGUAGCGGUGAAAUGCGUAGA